CCCUCUGGGUUGUAAACUCCUUUUAUCUGGGAAGAAAUGCCNUUUUUCUAAAUGGUUUGACGGUACCAGAGGAAUAAGCACCGGCUAACUCCGUGCCAGCAGCCGCGGUAAUACGGAGGGUGCAAGCGUUAUCCGGAUUCACUGGGUUUAAAGGGUGCGUAGGCGGGCAGGUAAGUCCGUGGUGAAAUCUCUGAGCUUAACUCAGAAACUGCCAUGGAUACUAUUUGUCUUGAAUACUGUGGAGGUAAGCGGAAUAUGUCAUGUAGCGGUGAAAUGCUUAGAUAUGACAUGGAACACCAAUUGCGAAGGCAGCUUACUACNCANUUAUUGACGCUGAGGCACGAAAGCGUGGGGAUCAAACAGGAUUAGAUACCCUGGUAGUCCACGCCCUAAACGAUGAUUACUCGACAUCAGCGAUACACUGUUGGUGUCUGAGCGAAAGCAUUAAGUAAUCCACCUGGGAAGUACGNUCGCAAGANUGAAACUCAAAGGAAUUGACGGA
rnacentral:rRNA from 1 species